CCUACGGGAGGCAGCAGUGGGGAAUCUUGCGCAAUGGGCGAAAGCCUGACGCAGCCAUGCCGCGUGAAUGAUGAAGGUCUUAGGAUUGUAAAAUUCUUUCACCGGGGACGAUAAUGACGGUACCCGGAGAAGAAGCCCCGGCUAACUUCGUGCCAGCAGCCGCGGUAAUACGAAGGGGGCUAGCGUUGCUCGGAAUUACUGGGCGUAAAGGGAGCGUAGGCGGAUAGUUUAGUCAGAGGUGAAAGCCCAGGGCUCAACCUUGGAAUUGCCCUUGAUACUGGCUAUCUUGAGUACGGAAGAGGUAUGUGGAACUCCGAGUGUAGAGGUGAAAUUCGUAGAUAUUCGGAAGAACACCAGUGGCGAAGGCGACAUACUGGUCCGUUACUGACGCUGAGGCUCGAAAGCGUGGGGAGCAAACAGGAUUAGAUACCCUGGUAGUCCACGCUGUAAACGAUGAGUGCUAGUUGUCGGCAUGCAUGCAUGUCGGUGACGCAGCUACGCAUAAGACACUCCGCCGUCGGGAGGUACGGUCGCGAAGAAUUAAACUAACGAAAGGAAGUUAGUACGGACGUGAGACGUAGCCGACGGACGACGACGAGGGAGGAGG
rnacentral:rRNA from 1 species